rnacentral:lncRNA from 1 species
GUCAGCUCUCCUGAAUGUAGAUGUCAAAAUCCGAAACCAAACGUGAGCAGUCUAAAUCCAGAGAUUUAGAAAGGAACUAAACUGAGAUUUCAUGAUAGGAAUUCCAUGGAUUGAUGUGGACAAGAUCACUGGGUGUCUGGGUGCUGCCGGGGAGAGUGGUAACAAGGGACAAGACCAUUGAGUUAAUGGAAUGAACAUUUGGCAACUGAGGGGAGGAGGGGCUGGUGAUCCUCAGGGAGGGUCCUGGGGUGAGGUGUCCAGGCUGUGACCAUGGAGGGGUCCCUCUAAGAGGAGACGGGACUCCGUCCCCUGCCACUGAAGGAUCUAGGAAUGGAACCAAAUACAUUCCUGUCCAAGAAUCAUGAUGCAUCAGUGUUGUGCCUCUGGACAAGCCUCUUAAAAUCUCUAAAUUUCAAUGCUGUGAACUACAUAAGGAUCUUAACCUGAUGAAUACCAAAAGAAAACUGGUUCCUCAUUUAAGAAGAUAUUCAUCUCACCCCAAGCAGCAGAUCAGAAAAAUGGAUAUCCUACCACAUCCCAAGGUGCACCCUAAAAACAAGUCAGCUGAAGUAGAGGCAGUAACCGUGGUCUUCAAGAAAAUAUUCUCCCCCUGAGCGCUGAGAACAUCCAGCACCAAGAGGAGAGGAGAUGCCAAAGCGGGACUGAAAGAACUAAAGGCUCAGAUGGAGGAAUCUCUUCUGGGCCCUCCAAGUAGGACCCCUUCCCUGGAGGGGGGGAGAUUCUGCCAAAGAGCACCAGGGACAGAGGCCUUGCACUACAACUGCUGAGCCCUUCGCCCUUGUUUGGUUGGCUGUAUAGGUCUUUGCUUUCAGGUACAAUACCCUGCAAAUGCACACAAAGCACACAGUUCACAUGAUGACUUUCGUGGGGCCUAUGUACUUUUGCCUUCCUGGGCGCUCUCACCCAUAAAAUAUUAAAAAGUAUUUUUUACCACUGUGUUGGCAUAAUGGAAACGAAUUAUUAUUAUUAUGUGUUAAAGUAUUUUCUUUGACCAGAAGAGACUUCUUUUUCUUCUGAUUUUAAAAUAACUUAAAACAUCUUCCUAUGCCUACUGUGUGGCUCCCUAUGGCGCGCUGUGUGCCAUCAUGAGAUGGAGGAGGAAGGGGAGGGGAAUGGAGAGGCAGGAUAUGGGAGGAGGGGCAGAUGAGGAGGAGAAGGAGGAAGAGGUGGAGGACGGGGAGCUGAAUACCAAGGUGGCUCUAGUCCCUGGCCCCAGAAUGGCAGCCCCUCUCUCUGGAAUUCCCCUUUAUCCGAGUCUGCAAACACAAAUUCUGGUCUCUCAUCCUCCAGCCUCCUUUCUUUCCACAGGAACAGCCUCUCAUUCCUCCUCCAAUGCCCUCGUUCUGGAGAUCCUUUCUUUUUCCACUGGCUAUCCCCAAGCCUGGGCCCAAAUCCUUCACCCACAACAGGACUGUAGCCUCCCAACUCUCCGCCCCACCCCACCCAGGCCUUCAUUUGCCAAACCCUGGUCUUGUGAGAGGGUCUGGAGAGUCCAAAGUAUAAAAAGCUCCCAAGAGAAAAGCAUGUGUAGGCCAGGUCUCCUCAUGGAGCCAUGGGGUCCCCCUGCUGAAUAGGUUCUAGCCCUCCCAGGUCAUUCUAGUUGGAUACGUGGAGAUGUCAAACUUGAAUGGAGCGGGGAGGAUGAACAUAGAAAACACACUGAUUAGUACUCGAACAUGUAAGCUUGCAUCUAUAUAUCCAGUAAUCACAUGGAUUCAGUUUAUUCUAUUCUGUUCCUAUGAAUUUUACAAUCUGCAGCUUUGCGUUAUAAUUUGUUUUUUAACCUCAGAAAGUCUUGGACAGGCGAAAUACAGGACCCUAGAAUUCCACUCCUUGUUGUGUGAUCCACUGAGUUCAGGACACCUGCACAAUAAGAACCAUAGCCUCAUUGUGUGAAAGAGCCGCAAACUGGAAACAACCCAAAUGUCCAUCGUCAAUAGAAUGGAGAACUAAAUCGGGGUAUAGUUCGUUAGCCAUGGCAACGGAGGAAUCACUGAUGACUCCUGAAUCCAUAAUUUUUAGUGAAAAAAGCCAGACAGAAGAGAAUAUAUACCGUAUGAUUACAGGUUAAACCCAGACCUGUGCGGAGUGCAUGAUAAAUGAAACUAUGAAGUAAACGAGGAAUGGAACACCAUGAACAUAAGACUGCGGUUACUGCUAAGGGCAGGGAAUAAAAUGUCUUUAGGAAGGGGCACGUGUGAAGCUUCUGGAAGUCUCAUAAAUUGUAGGUAUUGAUCUAGGUGGGCGUUAUUUUAAUUUACAGCCAUUCAUUAAGGUGUACGUUUAUGUUUUCUGCAGCCUUCUGCAUAUUGCAUGAUCCAGUUGAAGAAAAUAUAUCAUUCUGUCAAUGCAGAUCAUACCAGGAAGCACAAACUGUGCUAAGUGAGCAGUUGGGGUAUCUCCAUCUGCACAGCACUAGGAGGUGUGGGACACUAUUCCAUCCACGUGACCCACAGGGGAAGCCCAGGAGGUGGGCCCUGGUCCCAACCAGACAAGUGGUGGCACCAGGACUGGAGGAGGCCCUGUGUGACAAGCAUGGUGCUGGCAACCAUAGCUCUGACCUAGUGUCCCUGGACCAACAGCGGGUAUCUCUGAGGAGCUUGGAAUCCAGUGCAUUCUAGAGCCAUGGACUGAGAUGCCAAGCUUUAUUGGGGGGUAGGGGGUGGGGGGACUCAGAAUUGUCCUAAUUCUUGGGACCUUCUAAGAAGGAAGUGUGUUUGAUAACCAUGGCAGAGAAGAGGAUUCCCAGUUACCCCAGGCAUUUUGUGGGUUCCUAGGCAAGAGCUCCUCAAGGGCUGGGUGGCCAGAGCAUUCCAAGGAUGUCAGAGGCCUGUAGACAGGAAAUGCCCAAAGGCAGAGGUGAGGGGACAGUGGCCUCCAACAGAGGUCAACAACCUGGAGAGAAGCCAGAGAAGCAGCAGAACCCACAGAAGGUGGCCUGAGGUUCCCAGCAUCAGCUUUCUCAUGUGUCCCCAAAAGCUCACACCCAAUGUAAACACGUGGCAAAACACACGCACACUCACUCACAGAGCAACGACAAAACAAAAACCAUUAGCCAGCAGCAACAGGAGCCAAGCAACAGACAGUAAAGACCCUGGGCCUGGCCAGUGUUGUUCCUCCCCUGAGUCUGUGGCAGGCCUCAUGAAGGGAGCAGGAGAGAACUCAGUGCCCACAGCACUAGAUCAGCAGAAGAGCUAGAGUGGCCAAUUUGGAAGGAAAGAAAGAUUAGGAGAACAGCUCGGGAUUAAGACAGCUCUCAGGAAAUCCCAAACAGGACACAGCCCAUGCACCAGGACUCGGGGUCACAUAUGACACAGUCAGACCCUCAAAGUUGGAAAAAUGAUGGGGAUGACAAACGAUGAAGUACGAUUCAGCAACCUUACCCUGAGGAAGCACCUCCAUUUGGGGGCUAUCUGUGGCACAGCGCAUGAAACAUCGUUCCCUGCUGCCCUGGCAUAGCCUUAUAGCCUUACACAGUCCACUCCCAGUCUCUAGGACCCCCUCCCCCAGUCCCUGGGGUCCUCUGCAAAGAAGUUGCUCUCAAAUUCAGGCAACCAUCCUGGACUCCAUCCCUGUGGCUCAGGAAGUCAUAGAGUCUGUGACCAACGGGAGUCUGAACAGCAGCCCCUGGGCCUGUCUCAUCUGCAUAAGACCCGCCCCCUGGCCUGGUGUCAUUCACUGCUACUUCCUUCUGACCCACGCACCGCCUCCUGCCCGCACUUUUCCCCUCCCACUCCACCCUGCCGGCCAAUGGCAGGACAGGAAACUGAGCAGGAAGUGACGUCAUCACCCUCCCGGUUUAGGCCGCGGGGUGCUAGGCCUCAUGCCUGGGGAUGGCGCUUCAUCCGGAGACCACUUUAGAACAAGAGCGCUUGAGGACUAAAACUACCAUAGAAGGAACAAGAGCAACAGCAAAAGAUUUUCAGGCUCAGGCCAAGGAUGUGAUUUAGAAAUGGGAGCAAGAUUUUGAGGGGAUAAAAGGAGAAGAAAGAUGAACUCAGAAGGUGUGUCUGGCGGCUUAGGAGAAAGCCUAGAACUGUGGAGCCCCAGAACUGACCUCCGCCCUCUCUUUCUCCAAGAGGAGAAGAAAAUCACAGAGGUCUUCAGACAGAAAUGACCCAGAUGAGGGUUGAGAUCCCCAGUGAUUACAGCAGAGAAAACCUAAAGGACAGUGGAGGCACUCUAGAAGCCCCGACUGCGGAAGCAGGGUCCUCUUUGUGGCCCACGUCAGGUGAGAACCCUUCCUGGAAAGGGGGACACUUCCCACACAAAGGACACCUUGGACAAGGGACUUACCGUGCUCCAGCUGAGUCAUUCUUGCUGCCCCUAGAGCUUUUGGAGGUUUCCAUCCUAGAUUGUUUGUUUAAUGGUGGGGCUCUUUCCUUGCAUGAGAUUGUCCUUGGAAUUUUUUUCUGAAAUGCAGUUUUUUGGGCCUUAACCACAGACGUUUUCAACAAGCGCCACACUGUCUCCGAUGUGGAU